rnacentral:rRNA from 1 species
AUUGAACGCUGGCGGCAGGCCUAACACAUGCAAGUCGAGCGGAUGAAGGGAGCUUGCUCCUGGAUUCAGCGGCGGACGGGUGAGUAAUGCCUAGGAAUCUGCCUGGUAGUGGGGGAUAACGUCCGGAAACGGGCGCUAAUACCGCAUACGUCCUGAGGGAGAAAGUGGGGGAUCUUCGGACCUCACGCUAUCAGAUGAGCCUAGGUCGGAGUAGCUAGUUGGUGGGGUAAAGGCCUACCAAGGCGACGAUCCGUAACUGGUCUGAGAGGAUGAUCAGUCACACUGGAACUGGGACGCGGUCCAGACUCCUACGGGAGGCAGCAGUGGGGAAUAUUGGACAAUGGGCGAAAGCCUGAUCCAGCCAUGCCGCGUGUGUGAAGAAGGUCUUCGGAUUGUAAAGCACGUUAAGUGGGGAGGAAGGGCAGUAAGUUAAGACCUUGCUGUUUUGACGUUACCAACAGAAGAAGCACCGGCUAACUUCGUG